rnacentral:lncRNA from 1 species
CUUAAACGAUUAUAAAUUAUGUGUAUAAAACUACAAAUAGUAUAUUAUUUAUAAAUUCGAAACAUAUUACAGACUUUCAAAAUUUAUGUACAAAAAAAUCAGUCUCGCAAUAUGAACAUUUGAACCACAAAUAUAAUAAAAGGAAUACCUACAGCACAAAUGAUUGCAUAUAACCAGAAGGUACCAUAGCGAUACCUUUAAUUUCUGGUGCAAAAAAUUCACUGAUCAUCAUCCAUGGAAGUGGACCAAGUGCGAUUCCAAAUGAAAAGAUAAAAAGAAGAACGGAUAGUAAAGGCAUGAAGAAGAAUACUAUGCCAAAGAGUAACGGUGCGACACCAGCCAAAAUGGAUAUUUCAAAUAUAUUUAAAGCUCUACUUGAAACAUAUAGUAUUAGCAUACCUAUACAUAAAAAUAACUGAUAAAAUGUACCUAAACUUCCACGUA